rnacentral:rRNA from 1 species
AGUAAUGUAUGGGGAUCUGCCUGAUGGCGGGGGAUAACUACUGGAAACGGUAGCUAAUACCGCAUAAUGUCUGCGGACCAAAGCGGGGGACCUCCGGGCCUCGCGCCAUCAGAUGAACCCAGAUGGGAUUAGCUAGUAGGUGGGGUAACGGCUCACCUAGGCGACGAUCCCUAGCUGGUCUGAGAGGAUGACCAGCCACACUGGAACUGAGACACGGUCCAG